rnacentral:lncRNA from 1 species
AAGAGUCCCACUGGUUUAGGACUCUUCGAUCAGGGUUACAUAUCGAUGAAUUCUGAUGCCCGAUUAUCCAUCGAAUUUGGACUCAAUAUUUAUGAGAGGUUUAAUUAGUGAUUUGAUUACUAAUUAACUCAAUUUGAUUGAGUAUUUAUUUUUGGAUCAAGUCCAAUUGAAUUGGAUUCAGUUGGGUUUGAUCCGAUUAGGUUAAGAGUUGACCUAAUCGUCGAGAUGGUUUGGUCCCUGAUAUGAUCAGGGGUUUGGUU